rnacentral:rRNA from 1 species
UACAGAGGGGGCAAGCGUUAUUCGGAAUUAUUGGGCGUAAAGGGCGCGUAGGCGGCUUGGCAAGUGGAUGGUGAGAUCCCUCGGCUUAACCGAGGAACUGCCGUCCAAACUGCUUUGCUUGAGGCCGGGAGAGGCGAGUGGAAUUCCCAGUGUAGCGGUGAAAUGCGCAGAUAUCAGGAAGAACACCUAUGGCGAAGGCAGCUCUCUGGGACGGUACUGACGCUGAGACGCGAAAGCGUGGGGAGCGAACAGG